UAUAUUAUAUAACAUGAAUGGUGAAUUCAGUCUCAGCAGUAAAUUGUACUUUGUGCUAUGUUUGGUAUACAUUGGAAAAUAAAGGAAUUAAUGUAUACUCGGAUGGGGGAAUAAUUCUGAAAUAGGACUUUGAUAGGAUUUUUUUUUUUAAACCAUUAGCCUUGCUAGUGACCUCUACCACAUAUGUGAGCAAAACCCCUAAACACCCCCUCCCCAUACAGACCACAAAACAUCCAGAUUACAUCAGAUUAUUUUCACAAAGAGGAUUUUAAAAGAAGGAAAAAUCUUUAAAUCAGAUUGUUGGCUAUUCCCCUGAAAGAACAAAAACAGAAUUAAUGAUACAUACUAAAGAAGACCAUAUAAUCAGUGUCAUUAAUAACAUGUACUGUAAAUAUCACAAUAUGAUGAUUGGAUUAUGAGCACAAGGAGCUUUUGAAUCAGCGAGUGUCAUUUCAGAGUCUUGUGUGACUUCCCACUAAAUCCUUUAGAUGGAUCCUCUAGAUGCUUUAUCAUCAGCAUCCUGAUGCAGGUUGCGGUCCGUUCAGCAGGGAACAGCAGGUCAUUUGAGACGAGGCCCGUCCUGCAGCGGGGUGGACUCUGUGCAAUGCAGCUGUGUUUUGGUGAACUCGGCCUGGGGUCAAACACCUCUGCUCUUCACCCUCCUGCCACAUCCAUCAAUGUCUCGGCACGCCCCCUGCACUGCAUGCUGGGAACGCUCCGCUCCUGCGCACUCCUGCGCUCAGACAAGAAGAGGAACAGGGAGUGUGACACUGUAAAAAACUAGGGACUCACAUUUAAAUUUGCUCACAAAGUUGUUACAGACUCACCUGAUCCCCUCCAACUGAUGCCCUCACCUACAUUAACACAGUCUCCCACAAGGACUUUUAAGCAUUGUGGGUACGUCUCUUUCUUUCACACUCAUUAAUGGCCUCUCUUUCACGCCCAGACCCUCUCUGAGAGUCUCUGCCCAGCCGUGCAACGAUCCCGGCCUCCGCAACACACACCAGAGCUGACAGAAGGUGUGUGUGUGUGUGUGUGAGAGGACGUUUAGGGCACAUGUGUUUCAUCUGAGGGCCUCUUGCGCAGCUGUAUUGUGGGAAACAAACAAAGAGUUAUUAUUGUGUCUGUGGUGAGAUGGUGUUAUGAGGGGUGAAACGGGGGCUUUAUGUGUGUGUGUGUGAUUCUUGGGGACGCUUCUGAUUGGGUGAUGAGCCACCGCUGCUGUUGGAACUGAUUGUUGACUUGCCAUCUGCCAUCAAGAAAAGUGCGUGUAUUGGUGCGCUCCACGUAGCUGGGUAUUGAGUAGUCUGCGUCGCGGAGAGACGAGGUGGGAGGGAAGGAGUGAAUGAGAAAGAGAGAGACGCAUAAACAUGCAGAUGUCGCACGGCAUAAUGACUGGAACUCUAGACUCGAUUUCGAGCUGCUGUUUGCAUGACUAGUGUGGGAGGAGAUUUGGUGUGUGUGAGAUACUAAAGUCGUGUUUGCACCAUACACAUCAUCUCACCGUAUUUGAUAAUUAUAUAGAUGCUGUUUAUUGUAUAGAUGUUUUGAUUAUGACAGUCAUUUACAUCAGAAGGUUCUUUUGAAAAACCCACUGAAACUGUUUUUUGUUGAAACAAUGGUGGUGUUGGCCACCUCUGUAGUAAGCAAGAAUGGGGUAAGCUGUGUCACACCUUUAAUUCUGCAUAAUUUUUGUCAUAUUAUUACUUGGAAAAGCCCAUCAUAUAUCUGUAAUAGAGAGAUGCACUUAAGAAACAUUUUUUUUUUUAUAAGUACAUUUCCUACAUGGCUAGUCAAAUGAAAAUAAUUAAUUAAAUGUUUAUUUGUUUUAUAUUAGUUUCGUGUUUUGAUUCGUAUUUAUUUUAUAGAACUAUUUUAUUAUUUAUUCUGGCUAAAGACUACACAUGGAUUUUUAAAAUAAAUGUAAAGUAAUUUUAAUUAAUUUUUUGUUUUCUUUUUUUGUAAUAUUGCUUUACUGUGCUUUGUGUUAAAGACUACCCAUGGAUUUUUAAAUGAAGCAUUUCCCCCAAAAUGUUAGCUGUUGGGUGUAUUAGAUUCCUCGGGGUAAGUUGUGCCAGUGGCUCAACUAAACGUUCUGCUUCUAAAUGGAAGAAAAUACUAUUGCUGUCACAAGCCGGGCUAGAACUCGGGUCUCUGGUGUGGUGGUUGAGAUAUCUGCCACAAGGCCACAGAGACUGUGAUGUUGGACCCAAACGAAACACUCAAGGCAGAACUCCAGGCAAUGUAGAUUUAAUAAAAAAAAAAAAUAUUUUCAAGCAAAAAUCCAACAAAAGUUCUUCUCAGACAGAGGUAUUAAUAACAUAAGAGAUAAUGGAAAAAACCACAUGGGAAAAUAAAAACUCCACGAGGGGAGAAAACAAAACUAGAGAACAUUAAUAACCAAAUAACUCAAAACACCUUACUUGAGAUAGCUUGGAAAGACUUGGAGAGACAAAGCAGGAAGCACGCGGCCAAGACUCAAAAACCAAGUGAGGAACAAGGGGAAAAAACACAACUAAAAUACCCUAGGAGAAACAAGGCACAGGUGACCUGGAUAAUGCUAACAAGGAUCCAUGUGGAAAAACUAAGGCAGAGGGGAACACAGGGGACCUCUAGAGGCAUGGAGACAAACUACAGGAGGUAGGAUGCUGACAAUUGCAGAUUACUAUAAUUAUUAAUAGUGAAUGAUUAUAAUAUUACUCUAAAUAUUACUAUUAUAACAUGUUAAAAAUUGUUGUACAGCAUUCAUAUGUCAUAUAUUAAACUUUUCCUGACUGGUUUAUAAAAUGCGAAUAAUGUGCAACAAAAAGUUUUGCCGUGGGAUAGUGCAUUAGUAAAUUGUAAUUUUUAAUUUUCUUAUCUAUUUUCAUAUUUUAUUUGAAAUGUGGAUGAUUCACAUAUUUCUCAAUGGUUCUACACAUCUAACAGUACCUCUAUUUUGGGCAAGUCACUGGACCAUUUUUUUUUUAAGAAGUCAUAUUUCCGUGGCAGUUUGUUAUAGAUUUGUCGAAUUUCAGUUGAUAGCAGAUAUUCUUAAAUAUAAUUAUGAGCAAUAGUUUUACUCCAAUCUUGUUUCUCUUUGCCUAUAAUGCAUCAGAAGUUGCACAGCUUACCCCACAUCCCUUGUGUCACCUACAGCAGUCAUUUCAGACCAACACAGAUGCGCAUACGCACUUUUUUUCUUUUUUUUUCAGAACGCGAGUUUAGGCUUAGGCGAGGGGCCUCACGUUUGAGUGUUCUUCCUUACACCAAUGUGCUUAUAAAGGUCAGACGAAGACACGCCAGCAGCUCCAGGAUUUUAAUAACUUAUUUAUCAGCAGCCUUAAGAUUGAUCACAGUAGUCAUAAUUGAUGACUCAGGCUUUUUUUUUUUCUUUAUUGAGUUUGUCUGCACAUUCACUUUCCUUCUUAAUACCCACUAAAGCAGACAGAAGGAACUUAAAAAAAGCAUCUGUAACUUUCCAUUUUCAUUUUAUGCCAGUCAGCUGAAUGGUUGAACAUGUUUUUUUUUUAUUUAUUUUUUUAUUAUUUGUAGCAUUAUUCCUAAUUGUUUGUGUGCUAAAA